UGGGGAAUUGUUCGCAAUGGGCGCAAGCCUGACGACGCAACGCCGCGUGGAGGAUGAAGGUCUUCGGAUUGUAAACUCCUGUUGAUCGGGACGAAAAGCUUCAACCUAAUACGUUGAAGACUGACGGUACCGGUUGAGGAAGCCACGGCUAACUCUGUGCCAGCAGCCGCGGUAAUACAGAGGUGGCAAGCGUUGUUCGGAAUUACUGGGCGUAAAGGGCGCGUAGGCGGCCUCCUAAGUCGGACGUGAAAGCCCCAGGCUUAACCUGGGAACUGCGUCUGAUACUGGGAGGCUUGGAUUCGGGAGAGGGAUGUGGAAUUCCAGGUGUAGCGGUGAAAUGCGUAGAUAUCUGGAGGAACACCGGUGGCGAAGGCGGCAUCCUGGACCGAGAUCGACGCUGAGGCGCGAAAGCUAGGGGAGCAAACGGGAUUAGAUACCCGUGUAGUCCCUGAGCGGGCUGGCAAGGCGCAU
rnacentral:rRNA from 1 species